rnacentral:rRNA from 1 species
ACACGACUACAUUAGAUACCCCGGUAGUCCCAGCCGUAAACUAUGCUCGCUAGGUGUCAGGGACGGUGCGACCGUUUCUGGUGCCGCAGGGAAGCCGUGAAGCGAGCCACCUGGGAAGUACGGUCGCAAGGCUGAAACUUAAAGGAAUUGGCGGGGGAGCACAACAACGGGUGGAGCUUGCGGUUUAAUUGGAUUCAACGCCGGAAAUCUUACCGGGACCGACAGCAACAUGAAGGCCAAGCUGAAGACUUUGCCGGAUUAGCUG